rnacentral:misc_RNA from 1 species
UCAAACUUGGUCAUUUAGAGGAAGUAAAAGUCGUAACAAGGUUUCCUCUAGAAGAAAAACACCUAUAGAAGCCUUGAAUGUCCAGUCUACCUUCUGUUGUAGGCAACAUCUUCACUGUGCUUGAAUACCCUUAGGGUUACAAUCAGCUGCUGAAGCAGUUCACAGAUCAGACGAAGGUGGUCCAAGAGUAACCAGCAUGGUCUUGGAUUCAGAUAUGACCGGCCUAUACCUGAAAGGGUAGUAGACCACAGUGUUCCGUAGGUGAACCUGCGGAAGGAUCAUUAUAGAGAACCUGCCCUUUGGGUAGAUCUCCCACCCUAUGCUUACAAUACCUUUGUUGCUUUGGCAGGCCCGUCUUUCUGACCACUGGCUUCGGCUGGUCAGUGCUUGCCAGAGGACCCUAAACUCUUGAUUUUAGCAUUGUCUGAGUAUUGUAUCAAUAGUUAAAACUUUCAACAACGGAUCUCUUGGUUCUGGCAUCGAUGAAGAACGCAGC